CGAAAUCUUGUGAAAUCUUCGGGGCCUUUUCUAAGACCCAGUGAACAAUUUUUGGGACCCUUGCGAAAGCAAGGGUU
rnacentral:snRNA from 1 species